UACGUAGGCAGCGAGCGUUGUUCGGAGUUACUGGGCGUAAAGGGUGUGUAGGCGGUUGUUUAAGUUUGGUGUGAAAUCUCCCGGCUCAACUGGGAGGGUGCGCCGAAUACUGAAUGACUAGAGUGCGGGAGAGGAAAGUGGAAUUCCUGGUGUAGCGGUGAAAUGCGUAGAGAUCGGCAGGAACACCCAGGGGGAAACCAGCCGACUGGGCAUCUACUGACGCUGAGGUGCGAGAGCGUGGGGAGCGAACCGG
rnacentral:rRNA from 1 species